rnacentral:rRNA from 1 species
CAGCAGUAGCCGCGGGAAUACGAAGGGGGCUAGCGUUGCUCGGAAUCACUGGGCGUAAAGGGUGCGUAGGCGGGUUUUUAAGUCAGGGGUGAAAUCCUGGAGCUCAACUCCAGAACUGCCCUUGAUACUGGGAAUCUUGAGUAUGGGAGAGGUGAGUGGAACUGCGAGUGUAGAGGUGAAAUUCGUAGAUAUUCGCAAGAACACCAGUGGCGAAGGCGGCUCACUGGCCCAUAACUGACGCUGAGGCACGAAAGCGUGGGGAGCAAACAGGAUUAGAUACCCCGGUAGUCCCUGUCUCUUAUAC